rnacentral:rRNA from 1 species
AUGCCCCUGCCGUGUGCGCCACGCCGGCGGCCGCGCGCCCGCCGCUCCAUGUCUCGCGCCGCUGCCCGCCCCCGCCCCCUCCGCCACGCCGCCAGCUCCACCUCCGCUACGGCAUGCCGCUGCACCGCGGCCUCCUUACCCGCGGCAUCGGCAUCGGCGUGGGACUGGACCCGCUGGAGCUGGCACUUCGCGGAGGUGGACCAGGCCGAGAUCUACGCGUCCGUGCUGCGCUUCCAGCUGGAGGAGGCCGUGGAGGCCGAGGACUUCGCCGAGGCCGCCGCCCUCAAGCGCGCCCUCCUCGACGCCACCGCCGCCGACGCCGUCUCCUGCAUCAUGGCCGAGCUCAAGAGCGCCAUCGAGGAGCAGCGCUACCAGGACGCCUCCAGGCUGACCAAGCUCGUCGGAACCAGCCUGGUUUUGAGAUCUUUGCUUUCCCAUGCAACCAGUUUGGUGGGCAGGAACUUGGCAUUGAUAAGGAAAUUGUUCAGAUUGCGUGCAUGCCGAGUAUCUGAUUUCUGA